rnacentral:rRNA from 1 species
GGCCUAUUAGGUCUCGUAAUUGGAAUGAGAACGAUUUAAAUACCUUAACGAGGAACAAUUAGAGGGCAAGUCUGGUGCCAGCAGCCGCGGUAAUUCCAGCUCUGAUAGUAUAUAUUAAAGUUGUUGCAGUUAAAAAGCUCGUAGUUGAAACUUGGGUGUGUAGGGGCGGUCUCUUUUAGAGUACUACCCUGAAACAUCUUUCUUUGGUGUAAACUCUUUAUUCACUUAAGGAGUGUAAACCAAACAUUUACUUUGAAAAAAUUAGAGUGUUCAAAGCAGGCCUUUGCUCGAAUAUAUUAGCAUGGAAUAAUAGAAUAGGACGUAUGGUUCUAUUUUGUUGGUUUCUAGGACCGUCGUAAUGAUUAAUAGGGACGGCCGGGGGCAUCAGUAUUCAGUUGUCAGAGGUGAAAUUCUUGGAUUUACUGAAGACUAACUACUGCGAAAGCAUUUGCCAAGGACGUUUUCAUUAAUCAAGAACGAAAGUUAGGGGAUCGAAGACGAUCAGAUACCGUCGUAGUCUUAACCGUAAACUAUGCCGACUAGGGAUCGGAGGGCGUUAUAAUAACCUCUCCGGCACCUUACGAGAAAUCAAAGUUUUUGGGUUCUGGGGGGAGUAUGGUUGCAAGGCUGAAACUUAAAGGAAUUGACGGAAGGGCGCCACCAGGAGUGGAGCCUGCGGCUUAAUUUGACCCAACACGGGGAAACUCACCAGGUCCAGACACAAUAAGGAUUGACAGAUUGAGAGCUCUUUCAUGAUUUUGUGGGUGGUGGUGCAUGGCCGUUCUUAGUUGGUGGAGUGAUUUGUCUGCUUAAUUGCGAUAACGAACGAGACCUUAACCUGCUAAAUAGCUGUAACAAUAGAUUAUUGUUUUGACAGCUUCUUAGAGGGACUAUCGAUUUUCAAGUCGAUGGAAGUUUGAGGCAAUAACAGGUCUGUGAUGCCCUUAGACGUUCUGGGCCGCACGCGCGCUACACUGACGGAGCCAGCGAGUCUAACCUGUGCCGAGAGGUAUGGGUAAUCUUGUGAAACUCCGUCGUGCUGGGGAUAGAGCAUUGCAAUUAUUGCUCUUCAACGAGGAAUUCCUAGUAAGCGCAAGUCAUCAGCUUGCGUUGAUUACGUCCCUGCCCUUUGUACACACCGCCCGUCGCUACUACCGAUUGAAUGGCUUAGUGAGGCUUCCGGAUUGAUUAACUGGAGAGGGCAACUUUUCUGGUUGAACGAGAAGCUAGUCAAACUUGGUCAUUUAGA